rnacentral:lncRNA from 1 species
AUAGACCACCUAAUCGGUGAUGGAUCUGUGAUGAAAGAAGAUGGAGUUGUUUGAUUUUAUUUCACUUAUUUGUAAUAGUUAGUGAAUAAACAAAUAGUCAUUAGUAUCAGCUCUUAUUAGUUAGUUUAUGAUAUAAUAUUAGUAUUAGUUCUUUAGAAUGUUUCAUUAUGCUUAAAUUUCGAUGGUAUUUUUAUUUUCCAGCAAAGUUAGUCGAUGAACUAAUAAAAUCGACUAUCUAUAUUUUGUAUUAAAACUGGAAUUUCCGCAAGCUAAG